AGAAUGGACACAAUCAUCCACAACCACCUCCCAUCAUCCCCAUGGUGGCACCACUGUGGAAAUGGGAUGGUGGAGCGUGUACUCCACCUGUGGAUUUCUAUUCCAAGAGAAGAGAUUGUCUGGGAUCCAACUCUGCACAGAUGGGUUAACAAAACUGAGCCCAAGGCUGAGAACAAGUGUGUACCACCACCUCCACCGAUGGGGACAUAUGGAUAUCAGGGGAACACUGGCAGUGUCCCCAAAGGAGUGAAUCCUUACUCUAUGAAAGCAGCAGGUCUAUGGGGCAGCAGAUACCCUACAAUGAAUUACA